rnacentral:siRNA from 1 species
UUGUCUUACGUGAAGUUCAAGA